UUUUUUUUUUUUUUUAAUUUUUACUUAGAAUUUUACCCUACGAACUUUUUUUAAUGUUGUAUAUUCUUUUGUUAAAGAAGUCUCAAUCCAUCCAAUGUCCCUCAUUUCCAUUACUUUACCACACACCCAAGAAUGAAACUACAAAUUUACCUUUGAGAGGUGAAAAAUAAAUAUUAAAAAAAAUUAAAUAAAAUUUUAAUAAAAAUAUAUAAAGUAAAAUAAAAGUAUAUAAUAUUAAGAGAUCAAAAUUAAAUAAUAUAGAAAAUAUAAAUAAAAUUUACACAAAAAGUGCAAAGGCCAAGAAAAAUAUAAAAAUAUUGAAAGGGCAAGUAGUAAAAAUACACUAAAAUUUUUAGCAAAAACUUUAAUUUUAAAAGUUUUUUAUAGGGGGAACAGUAAUUUUUUUAAAAAUAUAUAUAUUAAAU
rnacentral:misc_RNA from 1 species